ACUCAAAGGAAUUGACGGGGGUCCGCACAAGCGGUGGAACAUGUGGUUUAAUUCGACACUACGCGAGGAACCUUACCUGGGUUUGACAUGUAACUGCCACUGGUAGAAAUAUUGGGUUCCGUAGCAAUACGGACGGUUACACAGGUGCUGCAUGGCUGUCGUCAGCUCGUGUCGUGAGACGUCGGGUUAAGUCCUUGAACGAGCGCAACCCUUGUGAUUAGUUGCCUAUCGCAAGAUGGCACUCUAAUCAGACUGCCUGGGAAACCAGGAGGAAGGUGGGGAUGACGUCAAGUCCGCAUGGCCCUUAUGCCCAGGGCUACACACGUGUUACAAUGGCGAGGAACAGAGGGACGCAAAGCCGCGAGGUAGAGCAAAUCCUAUAAAACUCGUCUAAGUUCAGAUUGUAGUCUGCAACCCGACUACAUGAAGUUGAAAUCGCUAGUAAUCGCAUAUCAGAACGAUGCGGUGAAUGCGUUCUCGGACCUUGUACACACCGCCCGU
rnacentral:rRNA from 1 species